CCAUCUGCUGCCCAAUCUACUGAGAGGAACAGAAACCAGUCAGUAUGUGUGAGAGGAGCUCAGGCUUCAGUGAUGGAGACAGGCUGGAGUUCAACGCCUUGGUCUGCUAUCUUCUGGGCAGUGCAAGGACCAGUGAGGGUACAGCUCUUGACUCAGCAGACGUCCUAAACACAGACUUCAUGGAGUGGCCUGGCUCUGCCUCUUUACCUCUCUGACAAUUCAGUACCAACAAGCCUGAUGGCUGCUAGCUUAUUCUUUUAAGACCUGCUUCCUGAAAAUGACUAGAGAUAGUUCAUCCAGGUAUAAACACUGGUCACCAAGUUCUCGAUACUCAGGGUGAGCAGCUGUGUCUUCAUCAGGGGACUUCACACUGCAGUCUGGGAAGCCCUGCCUCAUUUGAUGAGGUCUUGCUGAUCCUUUGAUACCUAUUCUGAUCAGUUGCUGCUGUCACCCUGCCAACCUGGGCUCCUGGGUCUUCUGCUUUCCUAGUACAGCGACUCUGCUCAGUGUGAUGAGCUGCAGAGGCCACUCUUCAUACAGAUGAGGACAGAUCCAGCCCACCAGGAAAGAAAGUGAUAACUGGACCAGAUGACUUAAAGGCAGAAAGAAACUUCUAGAAGGGCACAACAAGAGUACUAAAGAACUGCAAAUAGGUCUGCAGAUCAAACAACACAGCUAUAUAGCCAGAGCUACGUCACCAAUGACUUCCCCCAACAAUUCAAUGAGGAGAGCAAAAUGGGAAUUUACCGGUGCCACAGGAAGAUAGUAUCUUUUUGUUUGUUUUUUAAAAGACAGAGUCUCACUAUGUAGCUCCUGCAACUAUCUAUGUAGACCAGGCUGGCCUCCAACUCAGAGAUUCAUCUGCUUCCACCUCCUGAGUGCUGGGAUUAAAGAAAUGAAGCACUAUACCUAGCUGGAAGCCAGGAUCUUAAAGAUACCGAGUAGAGCAGGAAGACUGGGAACAACGAGGAGUAGUGUCAGCCAUCUCUUAAGGAACUGGUUAAGUCACCAAGCCAUCAAUCUUCAUUCCUCUUCAGGAGUUGCUGCAACCCUUGCCUUUGGUCAGGGAAGAACUAAGUGUAGCUGAAAUUCGAGGUGCCAGGGAAGGUCAUUCAAACACAGGCAACAGGACCUCAGCCAGUCCUUACCAAGGGUUCUGAACAUUUAGUGACAUGACUUGGGGCAAAUAAGCUCCAGAAUAGUGUGGUAUGGAACAAAAAGUAUGUGGUCAGCUCAAGAGGUGGAUAGGUGAUGGUGGACACUGACAUAAAUGCAAUAUAAUUCAUUCAUAUAUUGAUAAUAAGUUACUGAGGAUGCUGGUGCACCACGGGAAACUUGGCAAGGGGCUCCAGCAACAGGAAAGCUGAUCAGGGAGUCCUUGAGAGUAGUCUUCCUGCUGCCUGUUCUGGAGUCUAAGUGUUCAUGAGAUAAGUGUUUGAUAAGGACUGUAUUCUGGAGCUAUGGCAAUGGACCACAAAGACCCUGGAAUCAAGCAAGCAAGAUGGAACAUUCUUACUAUGGAAUCUGCUGAGGGAAUGUACUGUUUCAGGAAGUGGGAGGGGGAGAAAGGAGGAGGCACAGGUGUACAUACACUACUGACAGAAGGCCUUUAGUAGCCUGCUAGCAUUUUCCAUAUAACUGUUCUCAUGGGAGUAAGGACAGUUUUAGAACUGCCCAUGCUAGGACUGACUCCAGUAGGCAGGAUAGCAUGCUUGGAUGAAAAAGCCAGCCCCACUCUAGCAACUUGGGAACCUUCAGAUCAGUCUUUCUGUAGAGCAGCCAGUCAGGCCGGUUAGCAAGGUGGUUUCACAGUCCCCACAAGAAAUGGGGACCUUGUGCAGGUCUCCAAAUUUUCUUAUCUUCAGUUUUUAAAUCAAACUGCUAUCAGAUGAUAAUAAGUAAGUAAGUAAGUAAGUAAGUAAGUAAGUAAGUAAGACUGGUCCUGUCAUUUCUGUGGUCAAGACCCUUGAUGUUGGUUACAGGAAGCUGUACAUUCUUCAUUAGGGCAUACCACCCAUUCCCACAAUGACUGAAGUUUCCAUCCCCAGAAUUGUUCUCUACCAUGUCCUUUUGUUCUGAAGGCUCUUAACAGUCUCUACCCUGCUCUCAAGGGCCUUUAAGUUUCACAGGGUCACUGCUGUGGGGGUUCUUGUAUGUACCAGAGUUAGGGUUACUUCAUCUGGAGCCUCUGCAAAGAACACGGUCUAUGUCUGUUCAGAUGGGGCAGAGCUAGUGUACACCUCUCUCUGGAGUUUGAGGCCUAUUCUAUAGAGUUCAGUGGAACCCCUAACACAGUUUGAAACUAAAGUUUCUGAAAUGCUGGCUUCUCCACAAAACUGUUGUCUUCUCUGGAUCACCAAAAGCUACAACGCGGCUUUCAGGUGAACUGCCCUAAUGCUUCUUUCUUCUUCAGCCCUGACACCACAUCUACCAGCCGGCUCCUCCUCUCCCUUCCCUACAUUCAUCUCAGAUCCCCUAUUUGUGCCCAGGUCAGAAGCCAGCAUCACUUUAGACCUGGUUGCCAUGGCAACCCUGUACUGUAAUCUUCCCCAAAGGAAUCUCUGUGAUCCUAGUCAGGUCCUAGCCUUUCUUGACACUAUCAACCUUAGAUUUUUGAAGAAAUAUUCUAACAGUUUGAAAAACAGACUGAAGAUACACAAGAACAUGUAACACCACCAUCAGGAAAAACAAAAUCUUAGUACAAUUAGCACAAAAAUUAAAUAGGAAAAUGUUGUAUGUGUCUGGUUAAUAAUACAUGUAGUUGCAUACAUAAAACACUUAACCACUGUAACUUUCUGAAUGAAUGUGUGCAAAGAAAUUCUCUAAUAUUACUUUAAGUGUGCAUUUAAUCUAGAACCUUGGUAUUCCCAUCAAAUGGUCUAGAAUAAUACAACAGAAUAGCAGUAGAAAAGACCUGAGCUUGUCAUGAGGACAAAGUUGAUAGUCAACAUAUGUUUUUUUAUUGCUAAGCAGUUCCUAACCUAUUAGCUAUCACUCAGAGAAGAAACAAACAAGAGACUGCAUUCUAUCUCCUGCAGGGGACUGAGAUCUGCACUGCUUGUAUUUACAGACAGUGCCAUUCUGUCACAGUUAGGUCAGAUGAGAAGGCAGACCAGGCUGAUGUGAGGAUAAGUAGACUGAGACAUGAGCAGAACACAGAGGCAACACUGAAGCUGGUCCUGGGCUCUGGCACAGCACAUGCGCCUGCAGCUGGGUUUUGUGGAAGACUUUUUUGUGAAAGAAAGAGGACUACUAGGGACUAAGAGGUACCAACUGUGCUUUUCAAGGCCCUGGGCAGUAUAACUUCCCAGAGUUUCUAGACCAAGGCUGGCUGAUGGAUGGGCAGCAGAUGAACUCACCUGCCCAUGUAGUCUCCAGUCCAUAGCUAGUGCUUUUCUCCCCCUCUGGAAAGGGAAAGGCACUGUGCAGCUAUCUUAGCAGCAGCAACAGCACUUGCUUCAAUGGGCAUCCAAGGUUGUUGAAGGCACCUCAUGAAUGGAAAGUAAAACAACUAAAACUUCUGUGGCUCCUGCCCUCUAGUAAACUGAAUGAUAAAUAUCAUUAUUCCUGAGGUAGACACAGGAGGACACAGUAAAACAACCACUUUAUUAGACCUUUGUUGUUAUUGAGGCAGGGUCUUACUGUGAAGUUCUGACAGCCCAAGAACUCUUAGACCUUGCUGGCCUCAAAUUCAAAAAGAUUCUCUCCAGAGGGCUGGGAUUAAAAAUUCCUGAUGUGGGUUUUCUGAAUACACAUGCUCAAACACAUUCUCUAAGUCAGGUAACUUAUUUAGUUCUCCAAGAGGAAAAAGGCUUGGGUACACAGGCAAGUUUGUGAAGGGUUGAGGAUUCUUUACCACACAGGCCUUAGGGCAACUAGAUAGGGCGUGGGGUUGAACAGGGCAAAUGUUCAGCAACUAUGGCCUGUUUUUCCCAAGCACAGGUCUCCAAGUGACAAGUGACCUGAGGUCUCUCAUGGGUUGUGAGUCACAACUCUGGACAGCACUGGCUCUCAAGUCACAGUGGACUUGGCAGGAGCCAAAUCAGGCAAGAGCAGUGGACCUUCAGCUGCUUUGUUUCCUGUGGUCACAACCACCACACACACAUGGAUAGUUAAAGACAGAAAUGAGCUGGGAAAAAAUUUGCCCCUUCUCUAUGCCCUCAGGACUCUGACUACAUGGACUAAAGAGAGUCUUUGGAAGAGCAGGGGGUUGGCCUUAACUGUCAAGUUGACAGAGUCUAGAACUAUCUGGGAGAUGGGCCUCUGGACAUGACUGUGGGGGAUUAUCUUGAGAUAUUGAGACCCAUCUAUUGUGGGUGGCACUAGGCUGGAGACCUAGAAAAAGAGCUGACCAGCAGCAAGCGUUCAUCAUGCUCAGCUUUCUAAACACAAAGCGAACACAUCCUUCAAGCUCUAGCCACCCUGCCUCACCCACCAUGAUAACUGACCCUUGAACUGCAAGCAGACAAACCCUUUUUUGCAUUGGGAUUAUAUUUUAUCACAGCAACAGGGAAAGAAGACACAGGGCUAGAGAAACUGCUCUGCUGCCCACUUCCCCAGGGCCAGGGCUUGCACACUAAGCACUGAAGCUGUAGCAAACAGCACUGAGAGAGGAACCCCAUGAAGGCAGACAGAGACAAAGAGAUGCUAAAAGCUGGAGGGGAGGGGCACUGAGGGGAAGCAAGAAGCCCAAAGCUGAGCCUGUCACAAGUCAUGCUUCCUCCCCUUUCCUCUUACACUCCAUCCAAAUGGCAAGUCACCAAGGCUGCAAAUGCCUAUCUCAGGAGUAAUUAAAUCAAAUGAAUCUCAGGAGAAGAGCUUUAAAUAUUCAAAGCCCCAUUAAUCCUCAUGCCUUGUAAUUAAAUAUGCAUGCUAAGAAGACCUGGACAAAAGCAAAAACACUUUCAAAAUGUGCAUUUUAAAAAUCUGUAGCAUUAGCAUGUAUUUCUGUCCUGACCUUGUGGAAACUAUGUAAAAAAUUCCAUGAAGCAUACACUGUAGAAAUGGAGAGAAGAAUGCAGAUACAAUCUUGGCCCAUACUGAGCUUUAAAAAUGUGCCUGAAUAAACAGUUUUCUCCUCUCUCCCUCUCUCUCUCUCUCUGUAAGCCUAAUUCCAGGGCCUAACUUGAGUAAGGCAAGUGACUGACUGCUGAGUCACACCUCAGCCUGCAAAGACUUACUUUUAAGGACUUAGAGAUUUGAACUUGCAAAUAAUGACCCCUUUUCCUUCUUGCAAUGUGACCUGGACCCAGCACCUUGGAAACUUCUUGUUUCUGCAGUUGAGCUCCUCUCACUUGAGUCCUGUUAAGCUCAGUGACUUCUCAGCCCUCGGGGCCUACCUUCUAUGUGACAGUCAGCAUGAGAGAAGACUGCUCCAACACAGCAUCCUGGAGGAGAGCAGUAAGAUGGCCAGCCUUCCCUUGCAGGAAUAGUGUGUGCCUGAAAACCCCCAGGGAGACUUGGAUUGCCACAAGCUCUCUGGUCUCUUUCCAGAGCCCAGAGCCCUGAGGAGGGAUAGAUGGAAUAGGAAGGAAUGGCACUCCUGUUUCUCUGGUGAGGAAGUCAGGGUGAAUGUUCUGUUGAUGACCACAUAGUUCAGUUUUUGAAUGUCUUUCCAAUGAGCAGGAGUUGCUGCUGGGAACUACCAGAGCCAUGGGCAGGCAGAGUCACCUACUGAGUGUUCCAGUGACAAUUCUACUUCACUGCUCUGUUCUUUUUUUUUUUUUUUUAAUUGGGUAUUUAUUUCGUUUACAUUUCCAAUGCUAUCCCAAAAGUCCCUCACACGCUCCCCCACCUACUCCUCUACCCACCCACUCCCACUUCUUGGCCCUGGCGUUCCCCUGUACUGAGGCAUAUAAAGUUUGCAAUGACCAAUGGGCCUCUCUUUCCACUGAUGGCCGACUAGGCCAUCUUCUGAUUGAUAUGCAGCUAGAGUCACGAGCUCUGAAGGGGUAUUGGUUAGUUCAUAUUGUUGUUCCACCUAUAGGAUUGCAGAUCCCUUCAGCUCCUUGGGUACUUUCUCUAGCUCCUCCAUUGGGGGCCCUGUUAUAAAUCCAAUAGCUGACUGUGAGCAUCCACUUCUGUGUUUGCCAGGCCCCGGCAUAGUCUCACAAGAGACAGCCUUCACUGCUCUGUUAGAAUCAUUCACUUAUUUAGAAUACAAGAGAAAGGUUUUUGGAAACUUGCCAGAGCAGCCAUCAGACGCAGUGCUAUUUGCAGCAACGGACUGUUUCCUACAGAAGGUCUUAAAGAUGAAAGCACAGGCCCUGACCAGCCCAACUGGAUUCAUUGUCAUGGUCAAUUGAUUGUGCCUGUCAGGAACGCCAGGUUCUAAAUUAAAAGCUAAAAAUUAAGGAAUAUGUGAAAUUUCUAGACAUUAAAGAGUUCACAGGCAGCUAUCUCUGAAGCAAAGACAGUCUUGAAGGACCCUUUUCCUAGCACCACGGAGUUAAGUGACACUGAAGUAUUUCUAGUAUAACCCCACUGCUCUUUCCAAGAUUCUGAACUAAGCAGAUACAGAGAAAAUGAUCCCAGAUGUGAGGUGUCCCAGACCCAGGAAAAUCAAACACACCGCCUAUCCACCCACCCAGAAAGUAGCUCAUCAAGAAAAGGGAUAAAAGACUCUAUUUGCAUUUUCAAGGAUGUGAAAGUGAAAGUACUGAAAGAAUUAGGAACCCCUUUCCCCAACCAGGCUUUCUCUGUGCAGCUCAGCUGUCCUAAACCUCGCUGGGAACGCUAAGAUUAUAAGCAUGUGUCAUAAUACCCAGCUUAUUCAGUGCUGUAAACCAGAAACCCAGGAUUCCAUCCAUGCUAGGCAAGUACUGAGCUGCAUCUAACUGGAAGCCAUUUUGCUAAGGGUUUGAGGAUUUGCGCCGAUCAUGAAGAAUGGCUUAGAAUUCUGUACCAACACAGCAGUAACGCCUGUCACAGUCAAUACACCUUCCUGUUUCCUAGAGGAAAGGAGCCAACCUGAAGAUGAGAGCAUGGCUUAGCACAGCACACUCCCACUGACAUCACAGACACUAUAGCUGGCUGGUGGGGACAACAGGCCUUUUGUUUUUAGAAGCACAGACUGGGUGAAGUUGAAAGCACUUCCAGCAAUGUUUACUCUUCUUUUAAUUAUUAGUUGCCUGAGGGAAAAAUAUAUAAUACAAGUGUGAUUUAACAGUAAAUGACGCUGAAGUGAACUCACUGCAUACUGUAUCACACACUCAAGUACUUAUGAGCCACAAAGAAAAAAGGAGGAGGGAGCUAUCCUUCAUUUCAUUCUAGGAAGAACAAGGGGAGAGAUGGUCAGCCAAACUGAAUCCCCCUUUUUUAAAGAUUUAUUUAUUUAUUUUAUGUAUGAUGAAUACACUGUAGCUGUCUUCAGACACACCAGAAGAGGGCAUCAGGUCCCAUUACAGAUGGUUGUGAGCCACCAUGUGGGUGCUGGGAAUUGAACUCAGGACCUCAGAACCGCUGAGACAUCUCUCUAGCCACCACCACCCCCAAUUGAUUUUUUUUUAAAUCUCUACUAACAUAUGUACAUGCCAAGAAGGUGGACACUCUUGUCUCAAGCCAUCCUUUAGCUACUGAAUUCCUUAUAGGAAAAUAAAAAGCUAUGCCUCGACAUUCAGAAAGAGGGAAUGGAGCAGGAAGCUCACACACUGCAUUCCAUGUCUUGCUCUGAGCCUUUAACAGAGGCUCCCAUGUAACAGACUCCCAUGCGUCUUGUGUUUUCUGGAAUGGGAUAUAAAAUUGUAUUGAUGACUAACAGUAAUUCUACGUAUCUCACUUUAUUAUCAAUGAGAGGGUUGCUUUAGAUAACUAUGACACAUGAUCUCCUGGAUGAGAACUAACAUCAAAACACAAAAUACUGCUCUUAAAGAUAAAACUUAGGUAUAGUGGUGCCUACCCGUAAGUCCAGCACAGCUAGCUGGAGAACCAACAAUAAAACAAAUUGGUAAAACUCAGGAGCCUGAAUGGCAAAGCUGACUGAAUGUAGGAAGAGAAGCAAGUAUUAAAAGGCUAAAGACAAAGGUGCUGCUCACUCUGUCUUCAGUGGAUCUGGGAGACUGGGCUGCUGUGGCUCCUGCUCAAUACAAUGAAACGGAAUGAAAGCCUUCAGAAGCCUGUGUGCCAACCUGCAGGGCCAAGUACACUGCUAGGAAGAGCACUAGGAAGGGAUUCUUUGGUGCGGGCUGGAGAAGGGAUGGUGGUUGCAGGAAGGCUGGCGUCACCAUGUGAUAACUGCAGCAACUGCAUUUCUUGCUAUGUGAGACAUGGAUAAGUGACAGACUUAAUUUUCGGUUUUGGGAUCCAUGACUCACCCCAGGACUUUCCCUCAAGCAUGGCCAUAUUUGAGUAUCACAAAGAAAAAGGAAAAGAAAACGAAAAGGAAAGGGGGUUGGGAAUAUAGCCCAGUAGUGGGGUGCUUGUCUAGUGUGCAUGAUGCCGAGUUCUCAGGACUGCAUGAACUGAAUAAUGCAGGUCACGAGGGUCACCCCACCACCUGAUCAGAAGUUCAAGGUCAUCCUUGGCUACAAAGACACAUUUUGAAAGAUUAAAAAAAGAAAGAAAGAAAAAAGAGGGAGUGGAGCAGAGGGGAAGGGAGGAGAGGACAGGGAGCCUGGAGAAGCCUGGGGAGCCUCGAGCAGCAUCGGCAGAGCAGCGACGCCCCUCAGUGGCCCCACAAUCACUGGCUCCUAGUCUUCAAGGAGCUCUUUUCUUUUCAAAUAAAACCCAAGCUUCUGCUCCCACGCCCUUCGCUGCCUUGCAAUAGUCUCUAAAUUACCUAUCUUUUGAGACAGAGUCUGUCACUGUGUAUCCCAGGUUGGCCUAUAACUCUGGAUUCUCCUCUAUGUGCAUUUUUGGCUAGCACAGCUCUGUCCUAACAACUUCAGGUAUUCCAGUCACACUUGCACCAUGCACAACGUGGACAAUCACUAGGGAGUCACUAUGGUUUGUGACAUAGGGAGAAUGCAUGGGCUUAUCUAAGCACCUUGAGCCAGGGUAUAUUCACCACUUCUCUGCAUUCUGCUCCUUUCAUACACAAAGAAUUCUGUCCUCACUCAAGGACCUGCUGGUUAUGCUGAAGGUUCUGAUAGAAGCACUUCCGUUUCUCUAACCCACCCAUGCCCAAAGUUAUCAAUUGAAAAGUACCUGCAACCUAGCUGGGUCUGCUUGUCUGGGGAGACCGAAGAUAAACCCAGCCACACCCUGAACAGAUAGCUACCCCAUUGCUUGAGAGUAGGAAUAUCUUGCCAGGAAGAGUGUCUCAAGACUCUCUACUCACUUUUAGGUUCUAAGAAGUGAAGAGUAGUGUCAGGGUUUUGGCUGAAUUGCUCAAAGCCCAUUAAUAAUGGACAAGCUAGAGUGCCAUGAACGCAGAAGCACGAAACAUUUCAGGUUAAAUAAAAGCAGCAAAAUGAGCCGAGGGCAGGGGCAGGAAAGGUGCCCAUGUAUGUGGGGAAAGAGAAUGAAUGCCAGUUUCAAAGGGAUUCCUUGAAAUGCCCAGCUCCCUUAAGAGUACUGAGCACCAUGUGGCACAGCUACCAAAGGCAUGCCUUUUUUUCUCUCUGGGUUAGGCCCACAUCCCUGGCCACCUGUCAGAGGGUUCAUUGACAUUGCAGAGCUACCACUGGGUAAAACUGAGGUCAGAGGAAACUAUGUUGGCAUCUUUCAAACCUAUUUCCAAUGUUUGAAACAACUUAUUUCAUAAAGGGUGAGGCCUGCUUGUUCAGCAGAACUUGCCUGCUGACCACUUUUUUAGCCACAGCUAAGAACAGCAGCACACAGCAGCUUGCAGCUCCCUCCUCUGCUCAGUGUUCAUGCUGUUGCUACUGCCUCUCUGGUGUGUGUGUGUGUGUGUGUGUGUGUGCGUGUGUACACAUUGUUGCUACUGGCUCCGCAAAUCUCUUCAAGAAGGGAUUUCAAAAGCUCCCACUUCUGACAUUCCUACAGAGCUUUGUAGACAAACUGAAUGAUGGCAAAGCAGCCUGUAAAUGAUGCCUGGGAAAGGCUUAGUUUGGCUAUUUGAAGAGCAUCUGCUUGGGAGGAGGCCACAGCCAUAUGCGAAUUCUUUAGCUGUUUAUACCCCACACUGCCCCCUCAGCAGAGGGAUUUGCUACUCAGCCUUCAGCACAUACCAGAAAGCAAGCUGUGCCACAUACCCGGGAGAGCAGUGACUCCUAUCAGCUGCUCUCACAGCCCAAACCAGGAUUUCCAAAGCCUGUCACAGCAACGCUUCUUGAAUCAGAAGUCAUCCUGACCUGCUUGUCAGGAGCAGUAUCUGUGGGAAAGAGAAGCCACUGGAAGCAGUCUUGAAUCCCAAUUAUAAAGGCUGAAUUAUAUUCUGCACCUAGUGUGGCAGUAGCAGCUCCAAAGCAGCUGCUGUGAAUGGGGCAGAAAAGCCUCAAGAAAGGUGGUGCAGUCUACAUUCACACAAGCCUAGCACUUCACCCAUGACGGAAGCCCUGAGGCAUAGCCGUCCUCUCCAGGUACCUUGUGGGGAACCAUGGGGACCAGAAACACACAGAAUAAAACUAGAAGUAUACAAACAUUUUUGACAACUGCAUUUUCUGUCUUUUGAGUUUUCUUAAAACAGGAAAGUCCUUUAGCUCUAAGACUGAAUGAAGGCUGGAAAGUCAGCAGUAAAGAGCACUAGCUGUUCUUGCUGAAGACCCAGGUUGGAUUUCCAGUAUAGACACAGCAGCUUAUAACCACUGGUAAUGCCAUGCCCUCUUCUAGCUUCCAUGGUCGCCGCACAUACACAGUGCACAGACAUUCAUACAGGCAAAAUAUCCACAUACAUAAAAAUCAAUUCUUAAAAAAAAUUAAAAAGAUCAGAAUGAUCUGGUGACAAAUGUAAUCUUUUUGUUAAAAACAAAGGCUGUGUAUAUACUUUUUCUCUUGACCCUCAGGACUCCCUCUUAUGGAGGGAUGCACACAACCGAUGUCUGUCUAGCCCUCCAAACCAGCUUUAUGCAUGCCAGCAAACAUCCCUCUCAUCCCAUUUGAGAUCCCUAUGCAGAGAACUCACCUAUGGUGGUGCCUGCUUGUGACCUCAGCACUUAGGAGGUCUUCCUAUCAUAGCAAACCAAAAUGACCUGAUAGAUACUAGUAUGCUGUGCUCACCACCCUACUCCUUGUUCUCUCCCUUAGAGUGUACUCAAGGCAGCCACACGGUGGCCACACCUGACCUUCCAACCACUUAGUAAUCACACCUCUAAUACUUACAACCUAUUUACUUGUUUACUUGCGAUCCAGUUACUUUUAUGAUAAACACAGAAGUGAACAGCCUGACACACUGUAUGGUCUGUAAAACCUAAAAUAUUUACUCUCUUGCUUCUUGUAGGAAGUUGGCUGCCUCCUACCUACCAUAUGCCAUAGAAUUAAUAUACCUAGCUGUUCUCUGUUCAUAACUAUCCCAGGAGAAAAUGCACAGUUCCCUCCUCCCUUCACCCACUUUUUCUUGACAAGGUCAUUAUGCAGCCAGGUUGGGCUCAAACUCUCCCUGCCUCUAACUCCUCAGUGCUGGGAUUUCAGGUGUGUAUCACUAACUCUUGAAAAUGGAGGGCCUCAAGCCGGGCAUGGUGGCUCACGCCUUUAAUCCCAGCACUCGGGAGGCAGAGGCAGGCGGAUUUCUAAGUUCGAGGCCAACCUGGUCUACAAAGUGAGUUCCAGGACAGCCAGGGCUAUACAGAGAAAUCCUGUCUCGAAAAACCAAAAAAAAAAAAAAAACAAAACAAAACAAAAAAAAAACCCAAAACCAAAACCAAAACAAAAAAAAAAAACCCAAAACCAAAACCAAAACCAAAAAACAAAAACAACAACAACAAAAAAAAAACCCCAAAAAACAAAAGAGAAAAUGGAGGGCCUUAAGAAUAAAAUUAAACUUGGAAAGAAUUAAGGAUGAAGAAGCCAAGCUUCAAGAGGGAACUUUAGAGAGAGCAACCACCUCUUCAGAAUGUUACUUCUUCUUUGUAGAGGAAGUAAGAAGGGAACUGUGGGUUUUGAUAAGAGGAAAUUCCCCUCUGCUCUGUGGGAGCUAUUCCUUGUGUUUGUGUUUUUCUAAGGUUAGGCAAGACUGCUCGGAGCGUACCGUAACCAAAUUAGGAAACAAGCUGGCUGAUAUCUCUUAAGUGGUCAACACAUGGUCAGGAUGUGCAGGCAUGCAGGCAGUGAUGGAUGGGGAGGGAGUAUCAGUACCAGAAGGAAAUAGUAUUUGCUUGAGAAAUCAAGCUUUAAAAUUAGACUUAAUCAGAAUUAAUACUUUUUCUUGCUGUGGGUGAAAAAAAAAAAAAAAAAGGUGGGGGUGUCCCAAAAGGCUAGGUGUGGUAGCAGAGACUUACAAUCUCAUUACUCAAGUGGAGGAGCAGCACAGAGCACACAAGCUUGAGGCCAGCCUGGGGUAUAUAGCGAGAUGGGGAGGGAGUGGAGACAAGACAGGGAGCAAACAAUGCUUCCAAAAGUUUCUAGAAGCAAACCACAUGGGACCAAUGAAAUGUGCCACCCAUCCUCUUGUGCAUCCCCAGGGCAGCACAGGUCUUGGCAUAAGCCAGAAGUUAUCUAUCAAAUUAAUCAGCAAUUUAACAGCUCAAAAGUGUCAAGAGCUGGCUUAUGCAAAGCCUCAGGUUUGGGCUAGUGAGAAAAAGGAAUUGAGAAAAGUCUUAAAGAGAAAACAAAUGACCAAGCUCUGUGAACCUUCCAUUUUCAGGUACCCAUCCAUCUGCUCCACUUGCCAGAACAUCGUGAGCUUCAAGGUAGUCUUACUGCUUUGAGAACAGGGUCUAGGUAUGUGAUACUUUACUCCACAAAGCUUGCCUCUUCAAUGACUCUCUCGUUCAGGAAUGACUUGUGAUUCAUUUCUGAAUGGGAGCCAGUUGAAUACAGACCCAGCCAGAACUAUUUGGGUAAUAACGUGCAACUUUGGAGAGCCUUGCUUUCCUCCCAAAUUUCUGGAUCAGCAAGAUUCUUGGCUGACCUUUAUUCACUUAAGAAUGUGUUCUACUCAGUUCCAGCUUCCGCUAUGAAACCAGUCAGAAUGGAGAUUUAAAAGACAAAGCCAACUGCAGUUCUUUAUAAGAAACCCCUGUGCUGGCUGAGGCAGCCUUUUUUUUUUUUUAACACAGUCUUAUGAAAGCUACAUUUUUUUUAAAGAUUUAUUUAUUAUUUACUAUAUGUAAGUACACUGUAGCUGUCUUUAGACACUCCAGAAAGGGGAGUCAGAUCUCGUUACAGAUGGUUGUGAGCCACCAUGUGGUUGCUGGGAUUUGAACUCCGGACCUUCGGAAGAGCAAUCGGGUGCUCUUACCUGCUGAGGCAUCUCACCAGCCCUUUUUGACACUUUCUUAGCUUACCUUAAGUCUUCUGGCUGGGGAGCAUAGAGCAGAAACUUCACAACAACUAUUUCAAAAGUACUCUAUUAAAGGUACUGGAUUCCUCUGGAGCUACAGCUGGAGAUGUUUGUGAGCUGCCUGACUUGGGUGUUGGGAACGGAACUUAGGUUCUCUGCAAGAGCACCAUGUGCUCUAAGUUGCACUAAGCCAACUUUCCAUCCCCAUUCAAAGUAUUAUAAUAGUAUCAAAAAAGCUAAGUGCUUGCAUUCUCUUUUGAUUUUUCUUUUCUUUUUGAGCCAGGGCUUCAUGUAGCCAAGGUUCCUAAAACUCCUUGAUAGUCUUUGCCUUGACCUAAAGUGCUAAGACUGCAGAAGUGCCAUACCAAAUCUGGCAUGAGCAUUUACUUUUUAGAACUACUUGUAUAUUGAUUCUAACAACUAUUUAUUAUCACUGACAAGAUCCUAGGGUUUUAAUGGAUAACACUUUACACAGAUUUUACACUUUCCAAAGACUUGAAGUGAUGAACAGAAACCCACCAAUUAAGUCCUUCAUUUAUACUGGCUAAGAGCACUGAGGGUAUCUGGCAUAUAGGAUCUCCCAGGUCUCUUUUAAAAACUGGGUAUCUACAAUUACAAGCCAUGAGAACCAAAUGUCAACAAUACACAGCUGGGCAGAGUUCAAGUCUUAUUGCAGGCAGAGAAUAAGCAGAUGAGUCCUCCUCCUGCCUCUACUGUCAUGCUGGCGUCUGAACUAAGCAAGACCAGGACUGACCACAGUAGCACUCCUUGUCUGUCUCUGCUUUCUCCUCAUGGUGCAGCAGGCAGGGUUACUACAGAAAAAUCUCAUUGCCCUUUUAUGGUAGAAAAAUGAAUUACUGGCCCAGCAUUGGGGCCCAGAGAUGACAGAAGGAGAGCUGUCAUUUGUUGUGGUUUUGGCAGCCAUAGAAUAGUGUUCUUCCUUCAGGCUAGAUGGUACAUACCAGGCAUCUGCUAAGAGAAAACAGGCCUGGCCAACUGCUGGAGGCACCCUCCUUUACUUUGCCUGUGAAUGGACAUGCCACUUAGGAGGAGUGAGCCUUGAUUUUGUAGAAACAUUCUUUUCAUAAAAUAAGGUAUGGAAAAGUCUUGCAUUAUGUGAAAGUUCUGAGCAGAGAUGCCCAGAGGACUCAGUUCCAAUCACUGGAUCCAUGUACCUUGAGCACAAGCUAUUGAGACUGGGGUCUGGCAGGGAGGUAAUCUCACAUGACAGAAGGCCAAGAAAGCAGCCGCCCACUGCAGAUAAAAGUCCACCCCAUGAAAGCACAGUAAGGUCCCAGGCCCUUCUGCUGAUAAAGCAGUAGUUUGCAACACAAGGCAAACUGUUUGCAUUUCUGUCAAGAGGCCUGAAGAAAAAAAGCAGGCUUCCCAGCUGCAGACACACAUUGCAAAAGAAGAAUUAGGCAAUUCUCUGUAGGCACAUCAAGAGUUAGGGAAAUUAAGCUUAUCUGAGUGAGAGAAAUUAAGCUUAUACAACAUGCUUUCGGGUGGAAAACAAGCCCUUUAAAAUGGGGGGUAGGGAGCACACAACUGUGAUGCUUGCACAGUUUCUUUUACAUUUAAUGUUCCCAAGGAUGGGGAGUGGGGGGUGGAGGGAAGCUGGUCUGUCAAACUGUAGGGACACACCAACUGCCCAGAAAUCUGCUUCAGAGACAACCACAAGGAGGAGGAAUGAUAUUCCUGGGCACCAAUGUAGAGUCUGUAUCCCAGAUGGACCUGGAGUGGCCUGUGUGGCCCCAAGCCACUCUCCUUGGCACCUCCAGUUUACAAAAUCCAAAAGACUGGUGCCUCUUUAGCCACUCCCAUCUCACUUCUGGGAACUGGGAAAUACCCAUGCAAAUACUCAGAGCUUUGUUAACAGGCUUGUUAACAAAGGCUAAGAAGAUUUAUCUAGGACUAAAAGACUAUGUGUCCUCAGGCUCUGACAAGGCUUCAGGAAGAUCUCUAUCUGCUACUUCCUCUCAGAAUUAAAGGUUCCCUCUAAAGCACCAUGAACCCACUAUGAAACCUGUUAUAGUUUCCUGGCAUCUAUAGAACUGACUUCACACUGUCACAGUCCAUGAUCUGGAGUCUGUUUUUCUGCCUAAUUGUAGUUCCUUCCACUGUGGUCAUACUUGUCUAUUGGCUGACCCUGAAAACAGCUCAGCUCACAUAAUCCUCUGGCCCCACAGUAACAUUCUGUCUCCACCCAUUAUAUCUUACUGCAGCAUAGUCAGGCUAAGACAUAGCUCACACUUAGUGUUUUUCUCAGUGUGACAAACCCUAGUGAUCUUUUCUUCUUGGGAGUCCCACUAUCUCUCACUGCUGUCUAGAUGAGCUGGCCUGUAGCACUGCUCCCAGCACAGCUGUUGAAUUACCUAACUGUUCUUGUAACUGUAGUGUUCCAUUGCCUCUGUGCAGAAGAGAGGCAAAGGGAAAGGGGAACAGCUCUGCCAGUCUAGUAAGAAGCAGCAAGGCUGCCCUGGAAGAGAGCACACGCCCCUGGGUAAAGGGGAGGCUUUCAUAGGGUGAGGAGAAAGAGUCAAGUUUCUGAAAGGACAGUGGUGUUUUUAGUUUGACAGGAAAGGAGAGGAAGGCAAAAGGAAAGACAAGACAAGAAAAGAAAGAAACUAGUAUUUUACUUGCUGUGGCUUAGAAUCUGGAUCAGCUUCUCAGGCACAGGGAGCAUUUGAAGCCAAAAUGCUUUUCAUAUGAACCUCUGGUGGGAAUAAAUCUGGGGGUUGGGAGUGGGGAAGUACUUUCAUGAGGCUACUGGAAUUUAAUCUGACAGACUUCGUCUGUUUCUUUUUGAAAAGCAAAUGCCAAUCUCAGCUUUCUAAGAAGCAUUGACUUUGGACUGGAAGUCCAAAUAAUUUUGGAUGCUCUAAAAUUAUCUGGUCUCUCUUCAGGCCUUCAGGUAGAGUAGCCUGCAUGCAAGAUGCCCUGGAGAUGGAAUAGUCAGUGUAGUCACACCAGAGCCUGCAGGAAUAAGGAAGGCAGGAGGAGGAGGAGGCCACACCUGCUGCAUAGUCUUUCCAAGCAGCCGCUCUGCUGUCCAGCAUCAAUUCCAUGUGUGUUGCUCUGAUAGGUUCCACCUGCUCCACCUCUCAGGUACUAAUCAAAGAACACAGACUCUCAUGUAGAAUCUUGACACAGAACCCUCUUCCAGGGUGAUGAGCCAUUUGUCCUUGCACAGACAGUUGCUGCCAUUCCUGUGACCAAGCUCAUCUCAGAAAAGUACAGAUUUAAACCCUAGGAUAAGCCAAUUAGUAAGGGAGUUUCAUUCCCUGUGAGGGAUGCAUACAUACUCAAGACUAGCAAAGCAAAGCAAAACAGGCAAAAGCACAGACAUAGCAAAAUGGAAGAUGUGCAAUUGUUUAGUUGUUUUAUUUAGUUCUUAUAGUGCUAGAACUUGAACCCAGGUCCUUAGACAUGGCUAGGUCUACCACAAAGCUACACUUCCAACACUUAGUGAUGAUUGGUAAGGAAAAGGCAAAGGUAGAUAAUAUAAAGAAUCCCAUGGACCCAGCCACUAACGAUCGACUCAGAGUCAAUUUUAGCUUAUCUAGUCCCUUCAUCUUCUUCCACCCCACCCACCCUCCCGUACAGCCAUGAACAAAUUCCAGACUACUUGGUUCAUUUAUAAAGAUUUCAGUGACUAUCUCCAAAAGAUAAAGACUCUGAAAACAAACACAAUAAAACUUUCCCAAGCAUACAUAAAGAGCAGCUGGAAGCUCUAGGUUUGACUCCUAUUGAUAUCACCUGCUACUGUGUGGCUGGAAAGCAAGCAUACCCAUUCAUACCCACUAGUGGAGAGCUCCAUCAGAUGUGUAUCUGGACUUUAGCCUGAGGAUGGUGUCAAGCUCCCAAGCCAGGGAGUCAUGACUACACAUACUGAGUUAACAGAGGUGCUGACCACUAACUGUACUGUGUCUCUCUCUCCUUCCUUCCUUCCCUCCCUCUCUCCCUCUUCCCCUCCCCUCUGCCCCUCCCUCCCUCCCUCUCUCUCUGGACCCUGACCUCAGCCGAUGAGAUUCUGUUUCUCUCAACUACUACUCUGAGUUACCAAGGUUACUGACACAUCACAGGGUUCAUUACCAUGCAGUGAAGACACAGAGCACACAGUGCAGUGCAGUUUCAAAGAAACCGGCAUCUUCUCCUAUUGUGGGCAGUGAGGGUUUCCAGGCCAGGAUAGCUGACCCUGCUCAGAAUGGGGUAGAGGCCAUAGAGAGACUUUUAACUGUGACCUAUGGAAAGGUCACAGGGCAUGUAGGGGCUAGUAAGUAGCAGUUGUUCCUAUUCUGUUUUCUGUCUCUUACUAGGGAAGAUUAAGGGGUCAGAGGCCAUUUCCAUUUCAUGGCUGCCACACUGCAACUGGGAAAGAACCCCUGAAUUCAAAGUAAAUGCAAAACCCAGGAAGAACAUCUAUGGUUUCUGCAUUGCUCCCAUUUUGCUCAGUAAAUGCUCUCCCAUCUUUUUGCUACCACUUCCCUCCCAUGUCCUCUGCCUUGAUACACACAGCCCCUCCAGGAUUGGAAAGCUUUCUGCCUCUGGUAUUGCCAUAGCAACAAUAUCUCUUUUACCUGGCAAAGCAGGAAACCCUGCAGUGCUCUGUGCUGAGAAUGCAAAGGAGGGACCUGAUAGCUCACGUUCUCUUUGGCAUCCUCUCUGCACAUGCGUACUCUGUCUUACAGAGCCCUUGCUCAAGGACAUCGCAAUGAGAUCACUAAAACAAAUUAAAGUGCUGGCACCUGGUAAUUCACAAUUAGUGUGAAGAUAAGAUAGGUUAAAUCAUUGUUUGCUGAUAUCAAUUCUUGAGAUAUUUUUUAAAGAGACAAUUAAAACACAUUUUCCUUUCAGUGAAGCCACAAGCACAGAAAAACUCCAUUAAAUAACUUUAGCAAACAUAAAAAGUGGCUAAGCAAAUUGGUGUGCGGUUUCUAGAAAGAUCCCCCUGGAAGUUUAUGUUCCUGGUAGAAUAUGCAAAUAGGGCUGUGAUGAGUCUGAAAAGCAAAGCUAAAACAGUGACCACAAAGCCACUAGAAGAGGGGCAGUUUCUAUUUUUUAAAAAAUUUAUUUAUUAAUAUACAUAAGUACACUGUGGCUGUCUUCAGACACACCAGAAGAGGGCAUCAGAUCUUAUUAAGGGUGGUUGUGAGCCAGCAUGUGGUUGCUGGGAUUUGAACUCAGGACCUUGGGAAGAACAGUCAGUGCUCUUACCUGCUGAGCCACCUCACCAGCCCUGCAAUUUCUAUUUUAACAGAGCAAAGGCCCGAUAAAAAUCCAGUCGUUUUCUGUAAGUGCACAUAGUGAGAACAGGAGGUGGUAGGUACGUCCUGCUGCAUGGACUGCAGAGGAAGAGAGAACAGCAGCCUGAGUGGAGGACCCCUGCUCUGGGACAGGAGAAGCAGCCUGGACUUCAAGGUCAGGACUGAAAGGUCAGGGCCUCUCACUAAACUUUAAAAAAAAAAAAAAAAAAAAAACUAACAAGCCACACAGACAUUUUAUCUUUUUUUUUGUAACUAAUUCUGAGAUCUCCAGCCAAGUGUGCUGUGAACUUACCUUUUAGGUCCUUCCUAUACCUCUCUGAACACCAGUCCCUGAAAUUCUAAUCCUUCUGGAUACCAAUGAAAGCAAUGAGCAAUGCAAGAAGAAGAGAGGGCACAGCAGAGCUGUGGACAGGACAAAGACUACAAGUGACAGCAGCAGCCCACAGGCAGCCUUCCUCAGGAUAAAGCUGUCCCUGGGCAUAUGGGGCCUUCUUGGAGCCAGGACACUUUCCUCCAAGAGCAGAAAAAGAACCUAGAGCAUGAGUGCCUUUAUCUAUAGGUAAAGGUUAAAUUUUGAAACAGAUGGUCCUGGAAGCUAUAAUAUCCUGUGCUACAUCUCUUCACUGUGGAUACUGUAAAUAAGAUGAAUGAGCAAAUGGAAGCUCUGAGAACCACCCAACAUUUGCACAGUAACCAUCUCCCUACUGCAUCAAACUCCAGACUCCACGAUCCUUCUCCAGCCUCAGUCUCUUUAGAAUGGGUGACUUAGUCACUUCGCAAGUGUGCACUGAGAACUGUACUGGAAGGCACCAGGCAAACACACAGUUGGCACUUGUUUUUUUUCCUGCUGAAACCCUCCAUAUUCCCAUUAAAUCAUUGAUGCAGUGGAUGGAAGCAGUGGAUGGAAGCAAAGGACUCUCCUGCACCUUGCCUUAUUCACAUUCCGUUUCCAACUACAUGGCCUGACCCGGCCUCACUCUAAGCCCGCUCCUCUUCUCUAGAUGUCCAGCCAGCUCUGACCCUUGGGGUCUGAAGCUGCUGCUGAGACAAACCUGAAGCUUAGUAGCAACAGAGCCAUUUCUCCAUCAUGGCGUGUGUCCAUCUUAGCAGGAGAACACAAAGUGAACUAAAUGCCCUGUCCUUUGCAAAAGCUGAGAACACAUGAUGUGCAGUGCAUUAUGAACUGCUAGCUAUAAGCAGUUAUAAAGUUGUAUAAACAGAUAAAGAACUUUUCAUCUGGCCUGAUUCAAAGUGCUCACUGCCUAGUAACUCCUAUUUUCCCUAGGCCUAGACCUGGCAAUUGCUGUUCAGUUCUUGCUACUUGCAUCUGGUUACUUAAGAAAUUGCACAUGAGGUCUCUGGCCGCCACGUCCCUGCAUCUGCAAUGGAUGGUCAUUCGGAACUGCUCCAGUUUCUUGAUUAAGAGGUAUAAGCAGACGUACAGCACAGAGCCAAAUAAACUGAAACUCCUUCCCCUACAACGGGCUAAUUCACUGCAAGACUGUCGGAGUGGAGCCAGCGGCUGAUGGCAAAGGGGUCCUGGUAGUUAUGAAAUGCAGAUUCAGUCAGGGAAAACCUGCCACUUCUUACACGUUGUGAAUCCAUUAGUACUUUUGAAGAGUUUUUACGUUUUUUGCCUUUCAAAUUCUAUAUUAAUUGACUUAUGUAUAACUACCUUAUUACAGAAUUCUAUAUGUCCAUACAGAUUUUCCCUAACUUACAGGUGUGUAUGUGCUGUAUUUGAGUACAGGACAGGGAAAAGAGCAAGCAAAAUAUACGACACAGCAGAAGAAGACACAUUUUCACAGCACCUGUCUUUAUAAAAUGACAUAGACGAGAAAUCCUGAACUUUGCAAUUGGAUUUCCACAAGUAAUUUCAUCUCUGUAACUAUGCCAACUGCCAUCACCAACCUUCUCUUGCUUCAUGAAUGGAAGAGGCAAACUAUUCUCAUGCAUCAGCCUACACAGGCCACCUGCAUAGUGCAAGCCAAACUCAAGCAAGGUGCUAGAAACACAAACCACUGUCCUCCGUACCUUUCG